UACGUAGGUGGCAAGCGUUGUCCGGAUUUACUGGGCGUAAAGGGCGUGCAGGCGGUUUGUUAAGUGCAGGGUGCAAGCUCCCGGCUCAACUGGGAGAGGUCCUUGCAUACUGGCAAACUCGAGGGAGGCAGAGGAAAGUGGAAUUCCCGGUGUAGUGGUGAUAUGCGUAGAUAUCGGGAGGAACACCUGUGGCGAAGGCGGCUUUCUGGGCCUUACCUGACGCUGAGACGCGAAAGCGUGGGGAGCGAACCGG
rnacentral:rRNA from 1 species